GACAAUAGUAUUAUUACCGUUCAUAACUCAAAAAUGUUGAUGUGACAACGCACAUCAUUUCCUUAUUUCAUCUUGCUUAAGUAGUAAAAGUGACCUGUGUAUAAGUCUGUGAUUUAUUUAUAUCGUAGUGUUUAUUAACUUUGUAACAGACUUCGCAUAAUGUAUAUUAUGUUAAAUAAAAUAGAAAAGUGACAAGUAGAUUUAACGUGACAUGCUCACUCGUGAAUGCAUGCACUAUUCUGUUAUUUUUAUGUGUAAUUCUUU
rfam:Pasteurella multocida subsp. multocida str. Pm70, complete genome.